rnacentral:lncRNA from 1 species
UGUGAAACAGUAAGUUGCAAAUACGAGAAAAAUCGUUUUUCUCUUUAGUGUCCCUUUAGCACUGCAUAAUAGGUGCUUUAUUUUUCAUGAGCUGUUCCCACGAUAGAGAUGAGGUGUUAGAAUUGCAGCAAAUCGUUGGCCAUUGUGUCUUGUUUUGCAUCUCGCAAAGUGUAGAUAUUUUUUCUUCUUUUUUUCUUUUUGCAUGAAGUAUGUUCCAAUCUCUAAUUGGCCCCUAAAAGAUGGUUGAAAAUGUGGACGCACGCUAAUGUCUACGCCAAAGAAAAGAGAAAAGUUGGUUUGCCUGAGCAGGUCUCUAUUGCUAAUACGUGACCGUGUGGGACUUUUUCUCUUUGGCCACAAGAGAACCGACAAAAUAAAUUAAAUCAAGUAUCCUUACUUAAUAGCCGAGACGCUAGUGCUAUUUACUGUCCAUUAAUCUGGUCACCUGCCAUUGUGCUGAUUUGCAGCAUCUGGUUAGACCUGAUGUUCUUUCAAAAAUUUUUUAGCAAAAGAACUUCUUCUUUACGGUAUGGUCUUUUGUACGAAAUUAACUCUAAGUUUCUUGAAGACAGUCGUCUAAGUGAAGUCUGUGAUUUUUCAAGCUGUUUGCGCAUAGCCUGAAUGCGUGAGAAUGAAGAGAUGCGAUAGGACGUUAAUUAACGUGGAAAGGAACUAAAUAUACAGAAGCCAUUUUAUUCAGCUUGGGAAUAAAGUGCUUGAAAUUUGUUUAUUACAGAAAGCUAGCACAUUUUGUCAAGUCAUCUAUGCUCGUUCACAGCCUAAGAAUAAAUACGAGCUGUGCCCUCAGCCAUUGCACGCAAGAGAAAUCGACAUGGACGCUCCAACCAAUUACGUUCGCUCAUUUUCAUGAUGUCAAGCGCUUGUGCGUGUUGAAGGCAGUCGAGUUUUGCCGUAGAGAGACAUGUUUGCGUCGUUGGUUCCAGACAGAAAAUUGGGUCACCUUGACAAAUUUUAUCAAAGAUUCUGACUAGUUCUGAGCCAAGGAUGAUAUUUUAGUCGGAAAGAACAGAAUUUCAUUUUUCAACAUGCCUAGUAUUUACAUUAGCAGAUAGCACUUGUGCUUCGAAUAAAAGCCAUCCAGUGAGACCUCUUACGUACGUUGCUGACAGGCGCACUUUCGUUUCGUGGGUUGGACUUGUAUUUAUUCUUAGGUUUAACCAACUGUAGAAGCUUUCUUCCUAAGCAGGAGUCUCAACGUCAAGCCUGCGUUGUGCUCCUUAUUUUUCUGUUGCCUUUUCAUCUACUACUGCAUGCACUCGACAGCAGUAAAGCAGUGCGCAGGACAAGGCAGAGAGGACGAAACGUCAGUAAUUGCUACUGUCUUGUUUACUUGCGUUUUCUCUGCUUUGUCCAGUUCCAUGCGCCGAUACUUGUGCACGUUAUGAAAACACAUUCAUGUGUGCCUUUGUGAAAAGUGCAGAGGUGUGAACCCUCGUUCUCCACUUCGAUACACGUCGAGCUGUUGACAAGAAACAGAGCUUAUGUUGAAUGGAUCAUGGGACUGAUGGCAGCACGCCCUCGUCUGGAGGCCACCUUUAUUGAACAUCAUAGUGUGCGAUCAAUGCCCGACUUAUCCUUGCUGAUUGAAUUGCUGGUAGGGUUGACGCAAUAAUUUGGUCUCCUAGAGGCUACACAUCUGUGUUAUGAAAUAUCUGAAGCUGCAAUUAUGAAAAUUUUAAUGAACUGUGGUCUGAGUGAGUUGUACAUUACAUGAACAGAUUUGGACACGCAGUUGCAUUCAGACAGCUACACUGCUAAAAGAAACAGCUAAAAGAAAUGUAGAAAUAGGAGUUCAGUCAGUCACUUUCAGGAACACAAUCACUUCAUGGUAAACGAGGAAUGUGAUCAUGAGUCAGUAGAAAUCUUGUGAAAGUGAUGGUGGGUACUCCAAGUGUGAUCUGUCAAGAAUACCACUUGGGACGCGUUUGCCACCUGGGUGCAUUUACGGCGUUCGGGUGUGUAUUAUCAAUGGCACUGCCCAAUAUAAGUUUGCUAAUACUACACUUGAUGAGUAUUCUUGCCUUGGCAAUCAAGUGGGCUGUACGGGAUACCUUCAUUUGGCAGAAGUCAGAUGUCCAUCUUGAUGUUGAAGCCCUGCGUUACAAAUGUACUCAGAAUGGCAGGUCCAGCGUCGAUUAAGGAAUCCUGGAAAAUCAAGUUCCUGCGGGCUGUUGAUCUUCGCUUGUUACGCCAAUUUUCGUGCGUUUUCUCGCUCCAUGCGGUGCACAGCAGUCAGUUUUUUUGGUUUGUGAUAUGUUUCUGUGCUUGUUUUGCAACACCGUAUUGCUUUUGAUUCCGCUAGCCCCAGCAUCACAAAAUGAAACUGUGUCAUAGCAAGAUGCUGUCAUUGCAUUAUCUGUCGCAACAUGGUUUAUAACUAGCGAUUGCAAGGAGAGGUUCCUAGGGAUUCGAAUGCCUUUAAAAUGUUAAUGUGCUACAUCUCCGAUUUGGAUAGUGCAUGCUAACUGCACAGUGCGCCUAAUGCUUCUAGGCCACAUGCUUGAAUUCGCAUCUUCUGAAGUCUGCUGCUUUAACUAUGGUGCAUAUUUUGCUGAUGAAUGGCGGUGCUAACCUUGUAGCAUUCUCUUGGGAAUGGGCAAGAUAUAGUCCCGAGGUGUGCCAUGACGUUACGUUUACAACUAGUCAGGAAGCACGCUGUUUCGUUAGCCACGGCACGUGCGGGCCUUUGCUCAGCUUUGCGCGUAUGCUCAUCACUGUCUAAACAUUGGGUUCUGUUUGGGCACAAGUUUUGAUGCAUAAUGGAUGUAAGCUGUGAGAGAUAUGAAUAUUAGAGGUAACAUGUACACAUGUACCUGCUAUCCCAGCUAGUAUGGAGCAAGUUUUAGAGCUUGAAGUGAGGCCUUCUGUAUCAGCAAAUACAUGAAGAAGCCUCCAGAAUGUUUUCCUUUCUUAUUAGGUUGCCAGUUUUGAGGAAUAAGGUAAGUCCCUUGCUAUUAACAAUGUGAUGUAGUGUCAAUGAGAUUUUGGCAAUGUGAUUUUUUAAUGCAUAGCUCUCUUUUUUUUUCUUGUAAUGGAAAGAAUAAUGGUAAUAGCUGUACAAACAGUGCACAAAUGGUGACUACAGUUGGCCAUAGAACCUUUCUAAGCAUCUUUAGUACUUUUUAAUGGUGGAACAGAAGAGCUGUGCUUUAGGAACUGCAUUGAAAACGACUGUAAGUGGCAGGUAUUAAUGUACCGGUGUAGUCACAAGUUCCCAGGCUGCUACCCCAACUAAUCCUAUGGCAGUUCGGCCUGGAGACUUUUGACCACCCCUGUACAGUACAAACUACGUAUUGAUGAUGUUACUACAAGGUUAAUAACCCAAAACUUGCUUUAUUGAUUACUAUAUUUGUCAUUCUACUCGCUGUUAUUGCUCAGUAAUUACAGGAAAACAUGCUGGUCGCGUCUACGGAUGAUCUCUGCCAUCAUGCAGUUCGCUUUUGCCUUUUAUCUGCACAGAGAGCUUUGGUUCUCUUUAAAACUUAUUCUGCGUUAAUUGGGACACCCGGUAUAUGCAGUAGGCAACAAGAGACGACAACGUAGUAUAGUCCUUCCCAUUCGUUCUUGAAGGUUUUCUCUCGGUGCCGUCCCACUAGAGUAACCUUAUGCAAUCUUGUCCAUAUCUGUGCCAAAGCAGUGGUGCCCUCACUAAGAGUCUAUUAAGCUUUGUAAUACCACCCCUGAUGCUUGAUGAAACCUCCUAUUUGACAACACAGAGUGCAUGUUGCGUCUUUCAUGUACUGUGUGACAAUUUACAUAUUUGCCGCAAUGCUGGCACACCCAAAAGAGGAGGCACGUUGACAACAAUGGGGGCACACCCGACGACAUCCCUGCUUCUUUCCUUUUGUGUGUGCCCUCUUUGCAACCAAAUGUGUCUUCUAGUAUAUCCUAACAUGGCCAAGAAGCAGUAAUCUCUUAAGGAUGAAUCUAGCCAAAGAAGCCAACUACUGGGAAUUAGCCUUGUUGCACAGAUGCUUCGAUCCUUGUUGAGGUCUAUCUACGUUUAAAUUUUUUUGUAAUUAUUGCGGGGGGAAAAGCACAAUGUGUGAGACCGUAUGGCGGAAUGGAACUCGAGCGUACUUGAAAGCUGUCGCAUAGCAGCGCACUGAAAUCAGCAUUGUCAGACUCAAGCUCACUCGAAAGUGCCUGCUUGACAAGGGUGCAGCCAGGGCUAAGAUGCACCUUGCGAGGCCUGGCCAACCAGUAUUACGCUUUAUCAUCACAGAAUUUGGGAAGACAAGUGUGGAUCCACGCUUCAUCUGUUCUGCCAUAGUGGUAAUGUCCUUGGUACGUGAACGAUCGUAAACAAAUGCGAGUUGGAAGGAUACGUUCUCUUAUGUGAAGAACACUCGCCGAAACCUCCCGCCCUGUGCACAAGUGUGUUGUGUAUACAAGUGGCUUGGGUGUUGUGAUUGUGCCAUUUGGCGCCACCACAAGCAUACGUGUGUUUUGACUAAAGCAGUGGCAACCACCAUUUUCAUUUUAAGCAUUUGGUCUUAGGAAAGUGUAGUGCUCCAGGCCUAGUGUGUCCGUACUUUUCAUGUUGUGGCCUUGAACAACUGCCGAAUGCAUGGAUUGAUGGAAACUGUCAAGUGAUGAUACAUGUUCGUUGUUUGCUGUUGUGGUGUGUAUACAUGGUAAGAGAGAGCAUCUUAACAUUUAGGCGUGCUAUAAAUGUGUGUUUCUUUUUUUUUAUUGUUAUUGGAUAGACAGUUUUGUGUGUAUGCAUACACACCUGUAUGUGCAGUCGCUCUGGAAACUUCUUGCAGUGAAGUAUUUUGGCCUGCAUUUGAUACAUCUGUGUACCGCCUUGAUGAAAGACAUUUGAUUUGUUAAAGGUCACCGAGCGUCUUGACAUGAAAUAAAGUGUUACCUGUGUUAA